GCCUUCUGGAUUUUGUACCAUGAACAUGAAAAUCUAUGCAAUGUUAAUGACUUCACUUCAGUAGAGGAGACCAUUAAAAUCUGAAAUAAAAGGGCCUAGGAAUGCAGCUCAGGGGUAGAGCGCUUGCCCAGCAUGGGGGAGGAGGCCCCGGGACCACCCCAGCACUAUAAAGAAAGACCCCUCCUGACUCCACUGGCACUAAUCUUCCGACCAUGGACCACUUGCUUGCACCCUUUAAGCCUCAGCUCACUCAUCUACAAAGUGGGGAGGUGCAUCGCAGCACCUGCUUAGAAAGAGAGUUAAUAGCCAAUGCUCAGAAAGCAUCAGCAGUCACAACGGCCACCAGCAGGGCUUGGUAAACAUGAGUGACAGUCAUCUCUUUGUCCACCUUCUCCAUGGAACUCUGAGCCCCUGGACAGUAAGAACUAUAAUAUUCAACUCUGGAUCCCAGAACCUGGGCCAGCUCCCAGCAUGAUAGCUCCCUGACGUCUAUGGGGUGCCAGGCACAGGCCCCAAGGCGGCCAGCACCACUGUCUUCCCAGCCCUAACCCCAUCUCAUCCUCAAAGGUGAUGACACCCUCUGACAGCUCUGGCCUGGACACACUCCACUGGACACACACACACUUUUCGCAAACUCGUCUCAUCCUUCAAGACUGCUUCUGGGCAUAGGCCUCCCCCUGCUCAGGCCACAUAGUACAGACUUCUGAGCAUCUCAUCCCAGGCUGUAUUGUCAGCUACUUACUAUACACACACACACACACACACACACACACACACACACACACACACCCCCUGCUCCAGAAGCUCCAGGGCACCAGGCUGCUCUGUGUUUCUGCAGGCCCAGUGCUUAGCAUGGAGCAGGCACUCUGAGAACAUUCCCUGGAUGAAGAAAUGAAUGGAUGUACAGACCACUCCUGACCACACAGCCACCGGCAGCCUUCAAGGAUCAGAUCUGGUGAGUCACUCAUGCCCUGCAAAUGCCAUGCAGCAAAAGCAGUGACCUCCUCUCUUUGCAUCUCUCUCACCAGCUCCAACCCAGAAGCUGCACCUCUCAGCCUUACGCACCCUGAGAGCCUCCUGGCUGCAGCUCGCACCCUCCCACACUGCAGCUUCAGAGGGGCUGAGCGGCCUGCAGGGAGCUCCCCACCUCCUCUCCAUGUCGCAGAGGUCUGCUGAAGCCCUUGGACAGGAGCUGGCCUAGGAGUGGGGACAGAGCCCUCACAAAGAAAUAGUGGCAGGAAGAGACAGUCCACCACCUACGGACACCAAACCCCAGCUUCCAGCAGAAGAAAACGUGGGGCACAUAGAAGGAGCCAAGGGGAGGCCUGGCUAUUGCUCAUCCUGUUGAAACAGUCAAACACUCUGUAAACUAGCUAAAUGGUUCCAAAGGAAAUGGGAAUCUAUUUUGUCUCCUGUCACCAGGGCUGCAAAUCCUGAUAUAUCUCAGGCACAGCAGAGAGGCGGAUGGCUCAGCACUUGGAGAGAUGCCUGUGUGCGGCAGGAAGUGGGGUGGAUGGCUCAACAGGUCCCCCUCUAUUCUGAGAGCCAGUCCUGUGAUGGCUGAGUGUACAGCCAGCUGAAAUAAAAAAUAACUUUGAACGCCAA